rnacentral:rRNA from 1 species
UACGUAGGGUGCGAGCGUUAAUCGGAAUUACUGGGCGUAAAGCGUGCGCAGGCGGUUUUGUAAGCCAGAUGUGAAAUCCCCGGGCUUAACCUGGGAAUGGCAUUUGGAACUGCAAGGCUAGAGUAUGGCAGAGGAGACUAGAAUUUCUGGUGUAGCAGUGAAAUGCGUAGAUAUCAGAAGGAAUACCGAUGGCGAAGGCAGGUCUCUGGGUCAAUACUGACGCUCAUGCACGAAAGCGUGGGGAGCAAACAGG